UACUUAAGUAUAUGAAUGAGAUUUUAUUUAAGAUUUGUUUUUGAAUAAAAUUAUAUUUAAAACUUAAAAGGUUUGGCGGUUUUUCAUAUCCAGUUAGGGGAGUUUGUUAAUUUAUUUGAUAAUCCCCAUUUUAAACUUACUUUUUUUAUAUAUAUAUAUAUAUAUAUAUAUAUAUAUAUAUAAAGUUUAUAUAUUGCUGUCGUCAGUUUAUUUUUUGAGAAUAAAAAAACUUUAAAAUUAUUAAAUUUUUAUGUCAAGUCAUAAUGUAGCUAAUAAAAAAGGUUUAAUGAACUACUAUAAAUAAUUGAUUUUAUCCGGAAUGAUACAAUUUAUAAUUUAUUAUAAAGGUGGACUUAAUAGUAAAAAUUAUAAUUAGAAUGUAUA
rnacentral:rRNA from 1 species